rnacentral:sRNA from 1 species
GAAGACAGAGCGAUGGCAGUUCUGGAGGCCUCGCUCCGGGGCCGACCCGAGGCCACAGUGCCCCCGCGGUAGACCGGACUUGGGUGACGGGCUCCGGGGUCCCGAGGGAUGGAAGGGUCUAAGACGUCCAACAACAGCACCAUGCAGGUGAGCUUCGUGUGCCAGCGCUGCAGCCAGCCCCUGAAACUGGACACGAGUUUCAAGAUCCUGGACCGUGUCACCAUCCAGGAACUCACAGCUCCAUUACUUACCACAGCCCAGGCGAAACCAGGAGAGACCCAGGAGGAAGAGACUAACUCAGGAGAGGUAAUAGAAGUGCCCUCUCCCCUAUCCUCAUGUAGUAAGCAUUCCAAGUGAGAGAUAUAUGAAAACACAGGAAUGCAGGCUUGGUUUCUGCAGGCUACUUGGCGCUUCUAGAGCUCCCAGACUUUUGGGGUCUCUGGGUAAUGAGACAUUCUACAUGAUCAGGCUGCUAUGCACCACUGGAGGUACAGUCUGCACCUGAGGUCACAGGGUUACUGAAUGAGCCAUUUUAAAAUCUUGGAAAGGGCU